GGGGCCUUGGGAGCGGGAAUGGCCGUAGGCUGGGAAGCUGGACCUUGCUUUAUAGGCUGUUACACAAGAAGAUGAAGAUUGAAGGGAAACGGGGGAUUCUACCACAGCUGAACCCCUGAGGCUGGGGAAAGAAGUGGGAUUUUUGGAUGAUGUGGAGUUGAAGAUGACAGUAGCCAUGAAUCCAGCAGUUUUCCUUGAUCCAAAGGCAAUGGAUGAGGGAGCCCUGACACAUGAUUGUCUCCAAACCAUGGAACAGAUAUGCAUUUGUUGUGAUUCAUGCCCAUAUGGAAGGGAAGAGGACUGCUAUCGGCUCAAGGAUCACCUAUUCAACACAGAGAAGAAAUUUUACAACUUCUGAAAGUUAAAAAACCAAAGGAGGUGGCAGUGAUGCAUUGUAAAGCACUUCAAUCUGGGCAAACUAAUGUUAGAGUGGGAAACCGACUGGCAGACAAAGCAGCUUCAAAAGCAGCUGCAAAAGGCAUCCCAACCUUCUGUUUGUGUUAGUGCCACAAAAAUAAAUUGACAUAAUUGAAGGCUAAUUCUGACAGUGAAGAUCAAUAUUUAGAAAAUAUAUUAAAAGCCACUAAGUUCCAAGAGGGAUGGUGAGUAACAAACAGCCAACAGGUUCCACUUCCUAUAAGGAGGAAAGUAAUAGGAAAAGAACACAACAAAUCCCUCAGGGGAAUUGAGUCCCAGACAUCUAGUCUCCAAAACUCUGUACUUAGUGUGGAAAUGACUGAAAUAGAAAAAUUUGUAACAAUGCAAUGUCCAAUUUGUUUAAAAAACAAUCCCAUAGCAAGAAAAGGCCACCUCCUGGAACAGUUAAAGACAAGAUUCACAAGCCUUAAGGGGAGAAUGUUGCCAGAUAAAGAAUUGUUUGCACCUGGUGGGUCAAGACAAUGAUCACUGCUGAAAAACCACUGGCCUAUGGAACUGCACUAUGCCCAUUCUGUAGGAAGAAGAACUGAAGAGGAGCCAGCCCAGUUGUGCCAACUUUUAUCAGUUCACCAGGCAGUCAGGUUUGACUUUGGGAUCACCAGCCACCAGGGACCACCAAAAAGACCCCCAGGACAGAAAAACACAUCUGCAGAGAGAAGGGAAAAUAUGUUAAUGAUUUUGGGGAAAUGAUUAUUAAAUGUAUGUAUGCUUAUCAUGAAAAUCAAUGAAUGUGUGUAAAAUAAAGCCUCUAAAUAGGAGCUUUUUCUGUACUCAGCAUGCACAAUAUUCCAGAGGAUAUCCCCACAUGCAUCCAGCCAAAUAAAGAAUGCCUGCUUCUUAAUGCUA